CCUAAUUACAUAAUUAGUUUAUGUGGAAUUUGCAUCUGAUCUUACCGAUUGUAAAUUCGUUAGCUGAUCCAGUAGACCAGGUGACUAGACAAGGAAAUAGAAUAGUGAACACAUAUCUCUUCUCAUAACAUGACUUUGGAAUGGUUGCUUGAUGGGACGCUUUCUGAAAUAACAGUCUUUCUUUAAGAAUAGGCAUAACCAAGAAUAGGCCCUGUUACUCUCUGUUUUCAAUACUCAAAGCGGAAAAACUCACCUCAAUUAUGUGUUUUGGAUUGAGAUACUGUUGUAUAUCAGGCCACCAAACCUUAUUAUCACUUUUUUGUUGUUUUUAAUGAAAUCCAUAUUCCUGGAUCUGUUGUGCUAUCAGAUCCAGGUUUAUAUACUUAUAGUCGCAGACCCGAGUUUCCACAAUUUAUGUUGUUUGGCUUUAGUAAUACAAGUGUUAUAGACAAACAAUGAAUUCAGCUCUUCAAUCAUGCAGGAGAAAGGAGAGAGACAAGACAGGGAAAAGUAAAUGCACUGGAGGGUGUACCCCAGCCCUUUGAUUUAAUUACAUUCAAGGAUGCUAGAUUAAAACUUGCAUUCUUCAAGAUUCAGCAUCCAAGAAUACGUUUGGAUAGAAUUGACAUGGUCAUCACUCCUCGUCAUAAUUACGAUCCUUUAACUUCUCAAGCACAACAAUAGAUUCCUAAAUUUCUUCGAUCGUGGAUUACUCCAUGUGAACCACAUGGUAGGAAUGUGUUCAGCCUCUAUGGACACUAUUUUGCUAGUUGUUCUGAUGAUAGAACAACAAGGAUCUGGUCCAUGCCUUGGCAGCAUUAUUGUCGUCUAUAGCACUUGUGGAAUCUAUAUUAAUAUAUAUUGCUAGUAAACAUUAUUUCUUUGAUUUUCUCAUCUAGAGAUGAGCUAUUUUCUUACUCCGUAUUUACUUAAUCACCACCUUGUGUUUUAUAAAUUUUUGCAGGCUGUGAACCAGCAUGUGGAUGUGAACCUCUGUGGCAUAGAUUACUCUGCAGUUGUGGUAACAUUUGACAGAUCUUGCUUUAUCUAAUUCAACAUGUACAAUAACUCUACUGGAUUCGGCUUCUUCCUUCUCCUUGCCAAACCUGGAGAUAUUGGUUUCUGCCACUAUAAGAGCAUUUUCCAGCACUAAUUUUAGCUGCAUCAACUUCAACAUACAAAUGUAACUUUACCAUUUUACUAUUUGUAACUUAUUGGAUGAACUUGUAUUAACAUCUAUUUUAGAGUUAUUCAUGAUGUAUAUUAUACUCGUGUUAAUUUGGCUUCUAUGUCCUAUUCAAGUGUACUAGAAAAGAAUACUACUUUGUUUUUUAACUCAUUAUUUUA